GCCGGGCAUGGUGGCGCAUGCCUGUAAUCCUAGCGGCUUGGGAGGCUAAGGCAGGAGGAUCGUGAGUUCAAAGCCAGCCUCAACAACUUAGUAAGGCCCUAAGCAACUCAGUGAGACCCUGUCUCUA
rnacentral:sRNA from 1 species